GAUGAAGAACGCAGCGAAAUGCGAUAAGUAAUGUGAAUUGCAGAAUUCAGUGAAUCAUCGAAUCUUUGAACGCACAUUGCGCCCGCCAGUAUUCUGGCGGGCAUGCCUGUUCGAGCGUCAUUUCAACCAUCAAGCCCCAGGCUUGUGUUGGAGCCCUGCGGCUGCCGCAGCCUCCCAAAACCAGUGGCGGGCUCGCUAUCACACCGAGUGCAGUAGUUUACUCUUCGCUCAGGUCGUGUGGCGGGUGCUAGCCGUAAAACCCCCAACUUCUCAAGGUUGACCUCGGAUCAGGUAGGAAUACCCGCUGAACUUAAGCAUAUCAAUAAGCGGACGA
rnacentral:misc_RNA from 1 species